CCUGCAGCUGCAAUAAGAAAAUGACACAUUCAGCGUCUUCUGGUUUAAGAUGAACAAAGGGAAUAUUUGAGAACCUGUUAAAAUCACCCAGCUCCAAGACACAAGAGCGUGUGCUGCAUCACGUGUGUGGAAAGGAAGCGGCUGUGUGGACGCAGGGCCCCUGUGCAGCUGAAGGCGCCUCAUGUGAUCCUGGGCUCACCCCGACUGCGGCCCCAGCCCUCUUGCCUGAGCGCCUUGAGAGGAGCUUGAGAAGUGUUUACCGGAUACACUUUCUACGCUGACGUCUCAGUCUGUUUCUUCAUCGGUUUAAGUAGAUGCAAAACGUCGUCUAAACGGUGCCACCAAGACAUUGUCUGAACGGAACCACCGACCCCCCAUUUUCUUCAGAGCGAGGCUGCCCAAGGGCCCGGAGGCUGUGCCUGCCCCACGGAAAACACGACCGAACGCAACCUGGUCACGAGCAUGGAGGGGCCUCCUGUGAACCCAUCGCCCGGGCGACCAUGAGAGAAAAGCCCUUCCCUGUCCUCAGACGUGGAGCCACCAGGAGCACCAGUGCAGACGAGCCUGUCCCUAGACGUGGAGCUCAGCCCAGGGAGGGGGCCCUGACCAUCUUGACAGCCACGGGGUGGGGGCACCAGGACCAGUGUCACCCUGUUGGGGGCUCUGGGCACACGGUGCCAUCUGUCACCUGCAGUGACCAGGAAGCUCUGCUGGAAGGAGACGCCCUGCCCCACCCGGCAGUGCCAAGGCCUGGGACUCACCGGGCUCUGGGCGUCGGGCAGGGCCCCGUCCGCCUGCUGCCGCCCCAGGUCCUUCACGUAGUUGUGGACGUCGGCCCCGAAGCAGUCGGCCUCGUAGAAGGCGCUGCACCAGCCGGGGCUGCAGCUCUGGAAUCCGGCUGGGCCGGGGGACAAGGCUGGGCCGACCCCUUUGGACCUGGCCAGUCGGGUCACUGCCUCCACGUCUGAGGCCCCGCCAGCUGGCCGUCUGUCCUCGCCAGCCUCAGGCUGCUGCGCUCUCUCGGCUUUUACGGACCUCUGAGGCCGAAACCCCACCUCGAAGUUUCCCCGUGACAGUGCGUCCGAGUCCACAUCCGACACCGAGGUGGGUGAGCAGGGGGCCCUGCUGCUGGUCCUGGCCAUGGCUGGCUUCUCUUUUCCUUGAAAGAAAGAGACGCAGGUUACGUGGACAGUGGCUCCUGUGGGCGGAGCCCGGGCAGGCUGUUAAUGGGAGGCCGGUGGUGCUUGCACACCCGACGCCCUUCUCUCUUGCACCCGCCCACCACGGGCGCCCCCCGGGCACGGCUGCCGCCUCCCAGUGCAGGGGAGAUGCUGGGACCCUGAACUGCCGCACGGGGCCGGGUGACAGAGAGAGGCCUCUCCCCAGAUGGAGCCCCACUCUGCGCCCUCACUGCUUCCAAACUCGUACUCGCCCCGGGGUGGGGCCGGGCCCUGUCCUCGCUGGCUCUGCUAUCAGGACUGUGUCCCUCUGCCCCCUCACGCUCUCCUCUUUUCUUCUGGAAUUUAAAAAGUGGUCCCCAGCUCUGUCCCUGCGGGAGCUUCCCCUGUGCAGGGCUUUCCUGCCAUCCAGGAGUGCACGGGCCUCAUGCCCCAGCCUGCCCGCCUGGUCUCCGACUUGAUAGGAACUGGGCCCGUCACCAAGCCUGGCCACGACUACGGACAGCCUGAGGGUGACCACCACCCCCACCUUGUCCCUAACACCAAGCCUGCUGGCUGGACGCUGGGACGUCCCCAGCCUGGCACUCAUGUGCCCUGGGAUCCUGGGGCUAACAAGCCCACUUCUGCCUUGUCACCAAAGCCCCGGCUCACAGGCCCCCCUCUGCUUGGAGAGCGGAUCCCACCUGGCUCCCGGCGGCUCCCACUGUCCCAGUGGCCGGUGACAGAGGACCCCCCACCUCCAAGGUCCUGGGCUCCUGCUCGCCCCCAGAAGAGGACGGCCUUUGGCUGGGCACCCCCAGGAGAGGACGGCCUUUGGCUGGGCACCCCCAGGAGAGGGCGGCCUUUGGCUGGGCACCCCCAGGAGAGGGCGGCCUUUGGCUGGGCACCCCCGGGGCAAAGGCAGCCCCGCUGGAGCAGUGCAGUCUGAGGCUGCUGGGACCCUGGGGCGCCCCCCGCAUUGCAGAGAGCACAGAGGAGCCGCCCAGCAGAGCUCCUGCCGCGGGGCCCGCCCAGCACUUACCCAGGCGGUGCAGCGACGGCCUCUUGCUGGACGGGGAGCGGGGGCUUUGGCUGCCCUCGAGCUGUGACCCAGCCUCCUCGGCCGUGCUGACGACGAGAAUGCAGAUGCACCCACCCACAGCUCGGUGGUCAACAGAGACCGGGGUGUGGGGCUGCCGGGAGCGGCCAGGCAAGGGCAAGUGCG